rnacentral:misc_RNA from 1 species
GAUGAAGAACGUAGCGAAAUGCGAUAAGUAGUGUGAAUUGCAGAAUUCAGUGAAUCAUCGAAUCUUUGAACGCACAUUGCGCCCCUUGGUAUCCCGAGGGGCAUGCCUGUUCGAGCGUCAUUUCACCACUCAAGCCUGGCUUGGUGUUGGGCGACGUCCCCUUUGGGGACGCGCCUCGAAACGCUCGGCGGCGUGGCACCGGCUUUAAGCGUAGCAGAAUCUUUCGCUUUGGAAGUCGGGGCCCCGUCUGCCGGAAGACCUACUCGCAAGGUUGACCUCGGAUCAGGCAGGGAUACCCGCUGAACUUAAGCAUAUCAAUACGGAGGA